GAUCUGUAGGUCCGUAAAGGACUCGGAGAAUCAAGGAGUGGGUCGCCCUGCAGAGAGAAAGGAUUGGGGGAAGGAAAGGGGAACGGCGGUUUGGGAAAGAGAGAGGGGGUCGAGAGAGAAGGGGCCAGAGACAAAAUGGGAGCGAGCUCCCCCUUCCCCUCGUCCAACUUUGGCCCCAUCUCGUCGUCCCUUUUGUCGCCUCCGGUAUCGCCUCCGACAUUGACCCUGCGCAGAGCGAGGCCAUAAAGCCCCCGGCCCAUGGGGACAGCAUUCAGAGUGACCACGAGGCGGCCCCGGGGCUGGGGAGACAGACGGAGCUCCCUCCCUCCCUGGCCAACCCACCCCACCUCCCACUCCGGUCUGGGGGUCCCGAGAGGAGCCAGCCCCUGGCCGGGAGCGGGGGGGUGGGUGGGUAGCCUCGGUCCUAGUCGGGCUGGGCCUGAUCGGAGGCCUUUCCAGAAGCCGGGCGCCUGGUUUUCGUGCGGAGGGAGACGCCGAGGCAGAGGAUUCGAGAACGGAAACGACAGCGGGGAGUUGGCCAAAGGCGACCGGAGAAAGCAGAGCGGUCCUUUGCAGGCCCAGAUCCUGGAGCUGGGGAAGGAAUUCCUCUUAAGCACGUUCCUGACUCGCGAGCGCCGCCUAGAGAUCAGCCUCAGCGUGAACCUGACCGUCAGACAAAGUGAAAAUCUGGUUCCAGACCCGGAGAAUGAAGUUUAUUAAA